AUCUCCCUGCACUGUUGGUGAUCGUCAGUGUGUGUUGAGCCAACUCCCAUAAAAAGGGCAGCUCCGCUGAUGGCCGAAGGAAGAUCGUUUGACGAAUUUCCCGAAGUUAUUAUGAGGGUGCCCACCUAUUUAAUAGGUUUAACUUUCCUGGUGACACGGCAGUGUGGGGAAGAU
rnacentral:other from 1 species